AGCAGUAGCCACGGGAAUACGAAGGGUGCAAGCGUUAAUCGGAAUUACUGGGCGUAAAGCGUGCGUAGGCGGACAUUUAAGUCAGGGGUGAAAUCCCAGAGCUCAACUCUGGAACUGCCUUUGAUACUGGGUGUCUUGAGUGUGAUAGAGGUAUGUGGAACUCCGAGUGUAGAGGUGAAAUUCGUAGAUAUUCGGAAGAACACCAGUGGCGAAGGCGACAUACUGGAUCAUUACUGACGCUGAGGCUCGAAAGCGUGGGGAGCAAACAGGAUUAGAUACCCCUGUAGUCCCUGUCUCUUAUAC
rnacentral:rRNA from 1 species